UCAGCUUCCCAAAGUGCUGGGAUUACAGGUGUGAGCCACUGCACCCAGCCUGUUUAAAUGCCAACUUUAUAAAACUAAGAUUAGUUGUAAAGGACAUUUUAGAGAUGGCUUUCAACAUAAGUUGGGUAGCAGAUUUAUAACAAAGUUCUGGCUGAAUUUAGAAUAGUAAUAAGCUGAGUAAUAAUACUCAACAGGGAAUCUCGGAUAACUUCAAGGCAACUUUUGGAGUCUUGAAGUUUCAAUCUAGAAAUUCCUUAUCCUCUCAACAUUAUGUCUGCCAAGCCUACAUACCAAGAAACCUGGUCCUGGGAUGUUCUAGACAACAAGAAGUUCCAUUUAACCACCUUCCUUUAAAGCCAAGGACCAGGCUUAGGAAGCCAGCUUCUUGCUUUCUCUCUUCAAGCCCCUACCUGGGUGCUUCUGGAGUAUGAGAAUCAAGGUACCCAGAAAAAAGAAACCAGAAACCCAAAUUGGAGAGAAUUUAGACCUUAAAAUCUUCUGGGCUCAAAGAUUUUCUCAUUAGUAUCUACCUUCUGAUCAUAAAGGUCCCAGAAAACUCAAAACAUGUCUUGCAGAUCUGAAGCCACCCCGCAUCUCCAGUGUUAGAGUAGCUCAAUCCCCUGUUGUUUUCUACGUUCCUCUCCUUUUCUUCUACUGUGUUUGCCCACACCUCCCACAUCUCCACCAUAUCCAGCCUGGGAAAGGUGCAGCCAUGGCUGGGUAGGGGAAGGAAAAGGAGGGGUGAUGUGCUGUGCCGUCCCUGAAGCCUCAGCCCCAGAGUGGGGUAUUCUUCUAUCUCCUAAUCCUUACAUUUCUGCAGUGGUUCCUGUCUCUAAACUCUGCAUGUCUCCCUCCACAGUGUUUCUUGAUGACAUGAGAGUUUUAUCUGAGAAACAUGAGAAAACUGGCCAGUAAGCCCCUCAACCCCAAACCACACCCACUUUGUGUCACAGCACAAUUAGUACGAAGUCCCAGUGUUUGUGUCUGCAGGUUACAGUAUUGUUUGCCACCUGCCUUUGGGAGAGGCAGACCUCCUUCAGAGUCUAUCAGCGGCAACUUAUUGUUUGUCUCUUCUAUUUGAAUAUUUAAUAUGGAUACAUUGAUAAUUUUAAUUUAAAAUAACUUUCUGCAUUACUUCACAACCUGUUUCUUUUUUUCAGUUUGUGGUAAUAUGUUGAGAAUAGUAUGUGAUACCCAUAGUGGGAGGGAGGAGUAGAUUCCUUUUAAGGCAGUUAGAGGAACUCCUUGUUGUUCAGACCAGCACCAAGGCAAGAAUCAGUGACAAUUUUUCACUGGUAGUGCCCCAAACUUGCCCUGCAAAGCUUAAAAGGAGACACUCCUCUAUGAGGUCCACUGCUUGAAUCCAAUGCAUAUGCUAUGCUUAGUGGAGUGUGUUUAGAGCUCCUUCUUCCAACAUGCCAAAAAAAAAGAAAAAAAAGAUGCUCAUGCUACUUCUUGCUUUCUGUCUAUUUCUUUCUUGCCCUCAGGCUUAAAAGUAAGCAUGAUGGAGAACAAGAGAGAAGGCGUGCCCUGGCAACCAUUGCCAGGAAACAGAUUUCACUGAAGUCAUAAAUUAGAAAGAUAACCCACUUAUCGGAGGUGAGAGGGACCCAUCACAGGCCUGCAGUGAUUCCGAUGACUCACAGGAAAGCAGUCCAGCUUGUUUGGCCAGUUCUUGGGUUAUUGGACAGUCAUCAAUAGCUUUGAAGCUACUGAAGUCUCCUCUGGUGCCCUGAAGCUUCAUUACUUCCGCGAAAUUCAGAGAGAGUGUUCGUGAUCAUGCAACAGAUACACCCACAGCCAGUGAGUUUCAAAGCCAAAGGAAAACAACAGGCCUUUGAUUAGGCUGUACCUACUCCAGUGCAGAAGGGCACUGCAGCAGCUGGGGGAGCCUGGCUGCACCACCUCUUUUCAUUCUCCAGAGAGUGACAAUCUUGCAGUGAAGAAUAAUUCAAUGGAAAUUCAGAGCUGUGUCCCCAACCACCAACCAUCAGGAAGUACAGAUGCUCAGACAUUUGCUGUGACUUCUUCCCAAAGGCAAGGUAACAUGUCAUUGCCAAGGAUUACAUUCAAAUGACCUGUAAUAUGGUUUUCUGGUGGAGGGAAGAACUGAAGGUAAUACUAGUUCAUCAGAGAAUGCUGAGUGGAGAAUUGCAGUGGUAGGGAGAUGAGAGAGCUGUGGAUCUUAAGGCAAGAUGACAGGCUCAGAAGUCAACAGCCUCAAGCAGAAGCAUGCAGGGUUCCGGGAUGAGAAACAUGACUCAGCAUUUAUCCUUUCCUGUAAAACAUAGCAACUUGUUAAGGCUGCAUUUGAAAUUUUACUCUAAGGCCAGUGAUAAUAUCUAAAUUACGGUCAUGACAUGCAUAACUUGAUAUCAAGUAGAAUAGAAAUAUUUCCUAAAAUUAAAGAAAUUACAACCAAACUCAAGCCUAUCAUUUCUGUAUUCAACGACAGUCACAAAAGUAUGAAUAUCUAUGGGGAAUUAUAAUGAAUCUACAAUUUCUCUGGCCAGUUCUAUUUCUUUUAGAAUGUCAAGCAGCAUUUGAUUUAUGAUAAUGGCUCAGAUUUUCAAGAUUAAAUUCAUGUUGGUAUACUGUCUUUUAAAGCAUGAAAACCCAUUUGCUACAGAAUGAUAUAAUCAUGAUCUGCAGUAUAAAUGAAAAGGCUUUAUGCUGGCAAAAAAAAAAAAAAA